UGAAGUCGUAACAAGGUAGCCGUACCGGAAGGUGCGGCUGGAUCACCUCCUUUCUAAGGAGCACUUCUCAGCCGGGCUUCGGCCUGGUUCAGAGGCCAGAACAUCAGCGCAUGUCUGAUGCUGGUAGCUCAUGGGUGGAACGUUGAUUAUUCGGCACGGUUCAGUAUGGAUGAGAGCGCUAGUACUGCUUCGGCGUGGAACGCGAAGCUCAUCAACUGACCGGGUCGGGCACGCUGUUGGGUAUCUGAGGGAAUGAACCCCCUCGAGAUGCCGGCCCCGGUGUAGAUCCGCGUUGAGCGGGUUGUGACGGGUGGUUGGUCGUUGUUUGAGAACUGCACAGUGGACGCGAGCAUCUGUGGCCAAGUUUUUAAGGGCGCACGGUGGAUGCCUUGA
rnacentral:misc_RNA from 1 species